rnacentral:rRNA from 1 species
UACGUAGGGACCAAGCGUUGUUCGGAUUUACUGGGCGUAAAGGGCGCGUAGGUGGCGGCCCAAGUCAACGGUGAAAGCUCGGCGCUCAACGCCGAGUCGGCCGUCGAUACUGGGUUGCUUGAGCACUGUAGGGGCCAAUGGAAUUCCAGGUGUAGCGGUGGAAUGCGUAGAGAUCCGGAAGAACACCGGUGGCGAAGGCGGUUGGCUGGGCAGGUGCUGACACUGAGGCGCGACAGCGUGGGGAGCAAACAGG